rnacentral:lncRNA from 7 species
ACAGAUUGCUCAAGAUUCAGCAGGACUUGGCAGGGACCUUUAUGCUUCCCAGAGACCCACUGACAGCGUCACAACCAGGCCCUUCUCAGUGGAUAGUAUUGGAUCUGUGUUGCUUUGUGAAGACCAGCCCUAUUCCUGGGCAUUCAGGACCACUGAAGUUUGUGGUGAAAGGAUAAGCACAUCUAUUCAGAGCUGAGAUCCACAACCUGAUCGUACGGCUGUAAGAGUCAGCAGCAAAGAUACACCAUCUUCACUCUUGCAGUCAUGAAUAUAAAUUAAGGAGAUGACAAAAGGGGGAAAAGAGUGAUUCGUCUGAGCCCAUGCACACCAUCAGCUGUUGCAGGGAAAAGAGACCAAUACCUGAGUUUCAUUCUCAGGUCACACUGGUUUCCCUACCAAGUCCCAUUGUUUGCUGUAGCAUUCAUACUGAUAUCAGAGUCUUUUCCUAUGUGUGUAUCCAGAUUAUCUAGAGUUCUGUGCCAGGGGUUGAUGAAUGUUCAGCAUAACUUGCAGUAAAUGCCGUCAUUGCGUAAAGCUUCUAAAACUUUGAAAAAUAGCAUGCUGCACUUUUUCCCCUUUUGACAAAGAAGCCUGAGAUAUAAUAGCUGUGGAAUAUCAGAUGCAGAUUUAUUUUUGUCUCUUCAACUGGCCGUGGGUUGUUUGCAUGCAUAUAUAUUUGUAUUUGUGUGGGUCUGGGUGUGUGUUUGUGUGCAUAUGCCCAUAUGCUGUUAGUAUUUCUUAUCUUUGAAGAAAAUGACCAUGAAAACUCGUUAAGUUGGUCUAUGCAAGCUGAAUAGCUAACAGGGAGGAAUAAUUUUGUAUCUAACAGAACCCCUCACACUUUAUUAACACUGAAAGGAAAGUGAGAGACCCUUACAUCACCUUGCUAGUUAAUAGCCAGCAAUGUUUGCAUUACUCAGUAUUAAAGGGAUAUUAGACU